GACAACUGUUCAUAAGCGUGUGAAAAGACAGUUUUGCCCUUUGUGUUCCAUCAAUUACCGGCUGCCACUGCGGGUUAAAAGGUCGGGCGUUGUUUUGACGCGAUAGAAGGGAGUGAAUUUCAUAGAGGUUUGCCGUUGUUUUGACACGAUAGAAGGGAGUGGAUUUAGCUCUUUCCAAUCUUCGAUCUGUCAAUAAAAGGUGAUCUGUGACAACUAAACCAAUCGUGCUUAGGUCUUGAAGAUAAUCGUGCUAGACCAACCAGAAUUGAUAGAAGGGAGAAAAGCGAAACCAUUCCAAUCUUGGAUCUGUGGGUGACAGAUUUGAUGCGAAAGACUCUGUCUUUGAUUGUUUUGUUAUUGUUCCUCAAUCUGUUGUUUGCUGGUGUUUCAGUGUUUUGCUUUUAUUCAGAUUCGAGGAAUAGUUUGGUGUUACAUUGUUUAUCUACUUCAAAUUUAGUCAUGGCACCAAGGAUUCCGUGGACAAGGGAAAAAAGGGUUAUAGAACAGCAUGAUCAUCAAGAUUGUACUGAUGAAGUUCAUGAGACUUUUUCAAACAAACAAACAAAUCGGCAAAUGCAAUCACGAAAACAAAAACAGGUGGUGCAGAUAUUUAGCAACUGGAGGGUUUGAUUAGAUACGCGGCAAGGAAUAUUGAUUUCUGUGGCAAAGGGAUUGAUUUCCCUCUCAAAUCAAUAUUCCGUCUCUAACCUGCAUUUGAUCAAUCGGCACGAGGUUAUUGAGCUUCCUCGAAGAUAGACAAAGCUCGAGCUUUCUGGAGAUGACGAUCUUCUUCAUUUUAAGAGAAUUAAGAUUGGGUAUCUGCCCCUGAGGAUUCUUAGCAACAUCGGCUCCUCAAAUUUGUUAGAUCAUGCCGAAGAGAUUUGUAUAAUCUCAAGUCCAGAAAGUAGUUGAUUCUUUCCAUCUUCGGGGAGCCGCUAUCACCAUCUCGAUUCACUGUUAGUCAAAGUCAACCUCAACGAUCAAAAUCAAGAACAGUAAAAGCUUGUUGUAGUAAUUGAUUUAUCAGCUUUUAUAAUCUUUCAAGACAAAACCUUUUAUUGUUUCUUUGUUUUGUUAAUCGAAGUUCAUAGUUCAUAUAUGAAAUUUCGUUUUUUGGUGUAGCCUCUGUUCUAGCUUUUGAAUAAUUGCAAGAACAACAGGUUUUUUUAACGCUGUUAGACAGAAAGAGUAAAGUAAAACAAAUGAAAGAGAUCUGGUUCUUAAUCUGAUUUGGGCAGCCAAUCAUAGAAUCAAUCAUACGGUUAUUUCACUAAUGUUGAAAGAUUUUAGUUUUCGUUAUCCUGUAUGGAAUGAAUACAGGGGAAAAUACUUUCGUCAUUGCAUAUUUUAUCUUU